UUGAAACUAAAAUAAAACAAUAACAUCAUCAUUCAAACAACUUUUAGUUCAUUGAGAAGGCAUGAUCUCUUGGGAAACUCUCUGCUUCCUCUCCUUGCUUUGUACAGGUGUUUUUCUGUGGGGACCGACCACGUUGUUUUUUAUUUGUUUUGAUCUCCCAUGUUCCUUGGGUUGUGUUUCCUUUUCAACGGGGGGAUGAUGAGGAGGUGAAGGAGGCACGGUUACAAGAGGCUUUGCCUCUUGGUGGUGGGGUGUCCUUGUUUUGCUUCGGUUCUCAUUUGAUGCGGGUCUCUUCUUCAUGCUUUGGUUGUCUGACGAGGUAGCGUCGUCUUUGCUCUGUGGAUUCCGGAAGGAUAGGGAGGGGGUUGUUUAUGUCUGCUUCUCCUGCAGUACCUGGCCUGCUGUCUUUUGAGUCUGCUGAUGGUUAAAGCUGUGUUGAUCUUCUGUGCCUGACCUUUGGGGUGCCUUGAUGCGAUAUGUCCUCACCGGAGUCGCAUGUUUUUGUUGUGUGCUUCCUGUGAUGACUCCAUUGUCGUGAACGCAAGUUGUUGUUUCCUUGUGGGAUGUCGGCUUCAUGCCCUCGCUGUUCUGGGGUGACGCUUGGGAUGUUUUCUUCUUCUGCGAUUGUUGGCGCCCGCAAGGCUUUGCAUGUCUCAGGCUCCCGCAAUUGUUCUUCCGGGUUGCUCUUUUCUUUUUCUUUUUUUUUUUCUCUUUUUUCCUUUCUUUUUUUGUACUUUCUAGGAUUGUUGAUCCUUGGCUUUUUACCAUGAGGAUCUCCAGGAGGUAGUGUGAUCUUUUUUCAUUAGGGAGCUGUUGAUCCUAGGGUUAUGCUGUUUCGCUGGGAUGAGCAUUGUUCUAGGUUUCAGCCUGAACUUCUUGUUUAGGGGCUGUCUUUUCUUUUGGGUGCUGCCAAUUCCUCUGGAGCAGCUUUGAUCUCUUGAAAUUGUUUGUUUCUGACUUUUCCAAAGUUGGCUUUA